CCUUGGGCUCCUGGCUCUCCCCCCAGCUGCCAGCCUAGGGGCCAGCCACCCGGCCCUGAGAUGGCAGCCUCCAUGGGACCGGGCAGGCAACAUGCCAGAACUCGCUGACUUCCCGGAGCUCAGCAGAGCUACCAGACCUGGGGGCUGGUGGGGGGUGGGGGGGUCCACCCUCCCCCUGGGCCUGGGACAGCACACACUGAAUUGACCCCCUUUCUUUCGGAACCAACAGACUCUUUUCUUCAACAUGUUUGAGUCUCCUGCGGAGCUGUUUGAUGAGCCCAUCUUUAUCACGGUGGUAGAUUCCCGCUCCCUCAGGACAGACGCACUCAUUGGGGAGUUCCGGGUAAUUGAUAUUGGCUUUUUUUUUUUUUUAAACAAAUCAAGUUUGUUGAUACAUAUUAAUAAAGCAUAAAUCCAUCCAAAGUGUACAAUUAAUGGUAUUUGGUAUAAUCACCUAGUUGUGCAUUCAUCACUUCAGUCAUUAUUUUCAUUAUUUCAAUAACAACAAUAAUAAUAAUAAACAGAAAACAAAAAAACCCAUCCUCUCAAUCUCUCUAUGCUUUCCCUGCCAUACAGAUUUGCUGUUGUUUCCGUCUCUCUAGUUUAUUAGUAUUUACAUUUUGUAAAAAGUCUUAUAUAUGCGAUAUUACCCAUAUCCGUGUUUUGCGUGAGGUUUCACUGCUACACAUUCUCAUGUUACACUUUUUAGCUUUCCUUCUAGUAAUAUGCAUGUCCUUAGACUUUUCCUUUCAACCACUGUCAUAUCCAUAAACUAGCUCUGCUGGUCACAAACAUAGUGAUGUGUUCUCACCAUUUCCAUUCAUUUCCAAAGAUUUACAAACAAACCUUUAACCAGUUCUGCACAGAUUAACCAUCAGCUGUCCAUUCUCUACCCUCC
rnacentral:lncRNA from 1 species